AACAGGGAUUCCCCUAGUAACGGCGAGUGAAGCGGGAACAGCUCAAAUUUGAAAUCUGGCCCUUGGGUCCGAGUUGUAAUUUGCAGAGGAUGCUUUUGGUGCGGUGCCUUCCGAGUUCCCUGGAACGGGACGCCUUAGAGGGUGAGAGCCCCGUACGGUUGGCCACCAAGCCUGUGUAAAGCUCCUUCGACGAGUCGAGUAGUUUGGGAAUGCUGCUCAAAAUGGGAGGUAUAUUUCUUCUAAAGCUAAAUACUGGCCAGAGACCGAUAGCGCACAAGUAGAGUGAUCGAAAGAUGAAAAGCACUUUGAAAAGAGGGUUAAAUAGCACGUGAAAUUGUUGAAAGGGAAGGAUUUAUGACCAGACUUUUUCUAGGGGGAUCAUCCGGUGUUCUCACCGGUGCACUUCCCCUAGUUGAGGCCAGCAUCGGUUUCUGUCGGGGGAUAAAAGCUUCAGGAAUGUGGCUCCCUCCGGGGAGUGUUAUAGCCUGUUGCAUAAUACCCUGACGGGGACCGAGGUUCGCGCAUUGCAAGGAUGCUGGCGUAAUGGUUAUUAAUCACCCGUCUUGAAACACGGACCAAGGAGUCGAACAUUUGUGCGAGUGUUUGGGUGUUAAACCCUCACGCGUAAUGAAAGUGAACGGAGGUGAGAGCCCUUCGGGGUGCAUCAUCGACCGAUCCUGAUGUCUUCGGAUGGAUUUGAGUAAGAGCAUAACUGUUCGGACCCGAAAGAUGGUGAACUAUGCGUGGAUAGGGUGAAGCCAGAGGAAACUCUGGUGGAGGCUCGCAGCGGUUCUGACGUGCAAAUCGAUCGUCAAAUCUGCGCAUGGGGGCGAAAGACUAAUC
rnacentral:rRNA from 2 species